GGUGGGUUAAAAAAAAUUCGGUUAUUGAUACAAUUAUUAUUUGUUAAAAACUCCAUUAUUUCUGUGUAGUUUCAUUAUAAGUCUACUAUAAAUUGAAUUUGUAUUUUUCUCAUGGCCAGGAGAGGAGGGAUAGGGGAGGGGGAAUCCCACCCAUCCUCCCGCCCUCUGGAUAUCUAUAUCUCUCUAUUUUAAUCUCUUGAAGAUGCGGUGAGUCAUAUCAAUAUGAACAAUACUAACCCCGUUAGGAAAUUACCCAUGAAAUACAUCUGUAUAUUGAUAUUAACAAUCGCCCGAACAUCUGAAAACUAUAGUAGGUAUUGAAAUAUGGCUUAUGUUUGUUUUUCGCAGUUGUUGUUUUUACUAAAAAAACAUGUUAGAAAUACUGCAAGUACUCAACGCGAAAAACAUAACGCAAAAUUGUUAGAAACAGUUUUACUUCCAAGCACACCACGUACAUAAUAAUUUAUUCCACGUACAUAUUUUUAAUUGCAGUAUGUUUUUAAGUAGUUUUACAGUACUUUUGUGUUUUGCAUGUUUUAUUGGGGAAAAUGAUGCGUCAAUCGAGACCAAUUCAACGGAGGUUGUGAUUCCGAGCGAGGAUGUGAACGAUGGAUGGCAUGAGAAAUUUCAUAUGUACGACCAAAACAAUGAUGGUUUGAUCUCCGCAAUGGAACUACAGCAAAUGUUAUUCAAAGAGUCAAUAGGACUCGUUACUAUUCGCCAAGCAAAAAGAUAUAUAUCUUUAUUGAAUAGAGACGGUAACGUGCAAAUUAAAUUAGAAAAAAUCAAACCGAUAGUGGAUAUUAUGACAGAG